CCCAUUCUUUUCCAGGGAAAGCUGUUCAUGUUCUGUCCCGCGUGUUCUCGAGAAAGUUUUGAUGAGAGAAAACAUCACACAGAAGGGUGCACGUCUCACAAGUUUCCAGCUCCGUGGAUUUUUGCAAACUGAGCACAUUUGGGGGCCAGGAGUGGGGCCCACAGCGAGGAUAUCCUUCCUGCCGCUCCUGCCGUCCGACCGGCAGCACAGUUACUACCCGGCCGUGGAACGACACAGAACUGUGCACUGUUGAGUUUAUGGUGAUGACAACAGUGAGUGUCUCUCGCCUGGCUGCACUUGCUGGAGGCACUGGCUGCUCUGACCUCCUCACUCCAGAACAUUCCCUGCUGAACAGCGACACCAGGGAAGACCAAGGAGGGUACACAAGGCUCAGUUCUUCACCUGAUGGCGACUUGGCCAUGCCCAUCUUUCCUUAUUCUCAAAGACCUGUGUGGGGCGGAGAGAGGUGGCGUUUCCAGUGGCCUGAAGUGUGGCUGAAAGCAGAGUGUUCCACUGGGAAAAAGAGAAUUCUUCCAAAGAGAAGGAUGAAGCCAGCAGCAGGGGUCCUGGCAGGACUGACCCCCACGGAGCUGAUGAGGCCGAGUGUCAGGAAGCACGCACAUUUUCCUUGAAAACAGACACAGGCCAACCUGCGUUACGGCAUCGGUGAGGUCAACAAAUAACCCCAUAGUGACUAAUACUGUAACUACAUGCCUGCCUAAAGUGACCUGACAUACUGCAGGUGCACACAAGAUGCUACGUAGUGAAAAUACAUACACAAUUAUUGCUAAAUUCAGAUCCUAGAAAAUCCACUGGAUUGAUACUUUAGAAGAGGGUAAUGGAUAAAAUCAAUCCAUAGGAAAAUUCAAAUAUUUAGAAAAUGCUAAUUUCAAUCUAGUGUAAAAAUACCGUAAAUUUGUACUGAAUUAUUUUUCCUUAUUACAAAAAUAUUCAAGCAAUAAAAAUGUCAGAUAU